rnacentral:ncRNA from 2 species
CUCUUAUCCAGAGUGGCGGAGGGAAUAGGCCCUGUGAAGCCCGGCAACCUGAAAGCAAUAAUUCUUGCUUUGAAGGUGCUACAUCCUACAGAUCAAAACAGAUCUGGAAGAUAAGAG